CACUGUCUGACGCAGACAGACAACCAGACAGACGAGGGAGAGAGAGAGAAGGAGAAAGAGACGGGUGGGGAAAGUGUUGAGGAGGGGACGGGGAGACAAGUUUAAUGGACGGAGGUCAGAGGGAGAGAGAGAGACGGGUGGGGAAAGUGUUGAGGGGACGGGGAGACAAGUUUAAUGGACAGAGGUCAGAGGGAGAGAGAGAGACGGGUGGGGAAAGUGUUGAGGGGACGGGGAGACAAGUUUAAUGGACAGAGGUCAGAGGGAGAGAGAGAGACGGGUGGGGAAAGUGUUGAGGGGACGGGGAGACAAGUUUAAUGGACAGAGGUCAGAGGGAGAGAGAGAGACGGGUGGGGAAAGUGUUGAGGGGACGGGGAGACAAGUUUAAUGGACGGAGGCCCGGAAAGAUGAAAGGAACGAGUGAUGGGGCCGACGAUAAUGGAGGAGAAGAGUGAACGAAAGUGGGAUGAGGAGGAAAAAAAGAUGUACCGGUAAGUGGAAUGAAAAUUGAGAGCGGCAGAGAGGGAUAUUGGCAGACGAGUGUGAGG